AGCACGAGCUUGUCAGAAGAUAUUUAAAAUCAAGGAAGCAAAUUAUGAACACACUCAAUACUGCCUUAAACUAGGUAUUGGAGAGAGGAUAAUUAAAACACCUAGUUUACCAUCUCCCCUUGCCUACAAAAAUAGCAGAUCAUUCAAUCGUUCAACAAACAUUCAACCGUU